AGACCCGAAACCCGGUGAUCUAGCCAUGGGCAGGUUGAAGGUUGGGUAACACUAACUGGAGGACCGAACCGACUAAUGUUGAAAAAUUAGCGGAUGACCUGUGGCUGGGGGUGAAAGGCCAAUCAAACCGGGAGAUAGCUGGUUCUCCCCGAAAGCUAUUUAGGUAGCGCCUCGUGAACUCAUCUCCGGGGGUAGAGCACUGUUUCGGCUAGGGGGCCAUCCCGGCUUACCAACCCGAUGCAAACUGCGAAUACCGGAGAAUGUUAUCACGGGAGACACACGGCGGGUGCUAACGUCCGUCGUGAAGAGGGAAACAACCCAGACCGCCAGCUAAGGUCCCAAAGUCAUGGUUAAGUGGGAAACGAUGUGGGAAGGCCCAGACAGCCAGGAUGUUGGCUUAGAAGCAGCCAUCAUUUAAAGAAAGCGUAAUAGCUCACUGGUCGAGUCGGCCUGCGCGGAAGAUGUAACGGGGCUAAACCAUGCACCGAAGCUGCGGCAGCGAACGUAUCACCCAAGACAACUUUGCGGAGUUGACGAUUGACGGAGCGAAGCGACGUCAAAGCGUUCAUUAAAGUCGAGUUGGCUUAGGGAUACGUUCGUUGGGUAGGGGAGCGUU
rnacentral:rRNA from 1 species